rnacentral:rRNA from 1 species
GACGUAGGGCGCGAGCGUUGUCCGGAUUUAUUGGGCGUAAAGAGCUCGUAGGCGGCUUGUUGCGUCGGCUGUGAAAACCCGUGGCUUAACUGCGGGCUUGCAGCUGAUACGGGCGGGCUAGAGUUCGGUAGGGGAGACUGGAAUUCCUGGUGUAGCGGUGAAAUGCGUAGAUAUCAGGAGGAACACCGGUGGUGUAGACGGCUUGCUGGACCAUGACUGACGCUGAGGCACGAAAGCGUGGGGAGCAAACAGG